rnacentral:rRNA from 1 species
GAUGAACGCUGGCGGCGUGCUUAACACAUGCAAGUCGAACGGAGUUCCUUGGAUAGAGGCUUCGGCCAAUUGAAUUGGAACUUAGUGGCGGACUGGUGAGUAACGCGUGAGGAACCUGCCUUUCAGAGGGGGACAACAGUUGGAAACGACUGCUAAUACCGCAUGAUACAUUCGGAUCGCAUGGUCUGAAUGUCAAAGAUUUUAUCGCUGAAAGAUGGCCUCGCGUCUGAUUAGCUAGUUGGUGAGGUAACGGCUCACCAAGGCGACGAUCAGUAGCCGGACUGAGAGGUUGAUCGGCCACAUUGGGACUGAGAUACGGCCAG